UACGAAGGGGGCUAGCGUUGCUCGGAAUCACUGGGCGUAAAGCGCACGUAGGCGGCUUACUAAGUCAGGGGUGAAAUCCUGGAGCUCAACUCCAGAACUGCCUUUGAUACUGGGGAUCUUGAGUCCGGGAGAGGUGAGUGGAACUGCGAGUGUAGAGGUGAAAUUCGUAGAUAUUCGCAAGAACACCAGUGGCGAAGGCGGCUCACUGGCCCGGUACUGACGCUGAGGUGCGAAAGCGUGGGGAGCAAACAGG
rnacentral:rRNA from 1 species